rnacentral:rRNA from 1 species
GACAGAGGAUGCAAGCGUUAUCCGGAAUUAUUGGGCGUAAAGCGUCCGCAGGUGGUUUUACAAGUCUGCUGUCAAAGCGUGGAGCUUAACUCCAUAAAGGCAGUGGAAACUGUGAGACUAGAGUUCGGUAGGGGUUACGGGAAUUCCCAGUGUAGCGGUGAAAUGCGUAGAUAUUGGGAAGAACACCAGCGGCGAAAGCGCGUAACUGGGCCUGAACUGACACUGAGGCGCGAAAGCGUGGGGAGCAAACAGG